rnacentral:rRNA from 1 species
UACGGGGGAUGCAAGCGUUAUCCGGAAUCAUUGGGCGUAAAGCGCCUGUAGGUUGUUUAAUAAGUCUGUUGUUAAAGACUAGGGCUCAACCCUAGGAAAGCAAUGGAAACUACUAGACUAGAGUAUGAUAGGGGUAGAGGGAAUUUCUAGUGUAGCGGUGAAAUGCGUAGAUAUUAGAAAGAACACCGGUGGCGAAGGCGCUCUACUGGAUCAUUACUGACACUCAGAGGCGAAAGCUAGGGUAGCAAAAGGGAUUAGAUACCCCUGUAGUCCUAGCCGUAAACGAUGGAUACUAGAUGUUGUAUGUUAUUUACAGUAUCGUAGCUAACGCGUUAAGUAUCCCGCCUGGGGAGUACGCUCGCAAGGGUG